CAAAGGGUAACAACAUGGAAGGAAUAAUAUUAAAUGCUGGAACAACAACAAAAACCAAAAGAUAUUUCCUGCUCUCAAAAGAACUCCUGGUCUAAUGACAACAUGGCAACAACUACAUAAUACAAGAUACGCACAAGAUAUAUACACAGUAUAUAUUUGAAAUAAUCAAUAGAGGAAAGAUCCAAGAAUUAAGAAGAUUAUGAAAGGUUUCUGAUAGAAGGGUUAUUUAUACCUUCUGAAUCCAAUUCUCCCUGAGCAACAAGAGAACUGUUCGGUUCUGCAC
rnacentral:lncRNA from 1 species